UCUAAUAGUUUAUAAAAUCUUGACUUAAUUUUUUCUUCUUUUUCUUCCUCUUGAAGAUAUUAUGUUUCGUUCUUUUUCUUUUUCUUGUGAUCCUGCUGUUUUAAGAUCAGGCAAAGCUCAUGUCUUAGUCUAUGGAAUGUAAGGAACAAUAGCUGAGGUAAAGCUUUAACUUGUCUAUAUGGUACCUCAAUUCUUACUUACAAUAUCCUUAAUUAAUUUGUUUUCUGCUUCUGCAUUGUUUUACUUUUUUGUUUUGGUUUUUUACAUCUUUUUUUUGUUUAUCCUUUUAUGUUAAGAGAGUCUGAAAGUAAAGCUUUCACUCGAGCCGAAAGCUGAAAAAUGCUUUACAUGGAAUGGUCUAGAGUUAAGAGUAAAAUAAUCUGAUG
rnacentral:lncRNA from 1 species